rnacentral:rRNA from 1 species
GGGUUGUGAGGUUAAGCGACUAAGCGUACACGGUGGAUGCCCUGGCAGUCAGAGGCGAUGAAGGACGUGCUAAUCUGCGAUAAGCGUCGGUAAGGUGAUAUGAACCGUUAUAACCGGCGAUUUCCGAAUGGGGAAACCCAGUGUGAUUCGUCACACUAUCAUUAACUGAAUCCAUAGGUUAAUGAGGCGAACCGGGGGAACUGAAACAUCUAAGUACCCCGAGGAAAAGAAAUCAACCGAGAUUCCCCCAGUAGCGGCGAGCGAACGGGGAGCAGCCCAGAGCCUGAAUCAGUGUGUGUGUUAGUGGAAGCGUCUGGAAAGGCGCGCGAUACAGGGUGACAGCCCCGUACACAAAAAUGCACAUGCUGUGAGCUCGAUGAGUAGGGCGGGACACGUGGUAUCCUGUCUGAAUAUGGGGGGACCAUCCUCCAAGGCUAAAUACUCCUGACUGACCGAUAGUGAACCAGUACCGUGAGGGAAAGGCGAAAAGAACCCCGGCGAGGGGAGUGAAAAAGAACCUGAAACCGUGUACGUACAAGCAGUGGGAGCACAGAGCAAUCUGUGUGACUGCGUACCUUUUGUAUAAUGGGUCAGCGACUUAUAUUCUGUAGCAAGGUUAACCGAAUAGGGGAGCCGAAGGGAAACCGAGUCUUAACUGGGCGUUAAGUUGCAGGGUAUAGACCCGAAACCCGGUGAUCUAGCCAUGGGCAGGUUGAAGGUUGGGUAACACUAACUGGAGGACCGAACCGACUAAUGUUGAAAAAUUAGCGGAUGACUUGUGGCUGGGGGUGAAAGGCCAAUCAAACCGGGAGAUAGCUGGUUCUCCCCGAAAGCUAUUUAGGUAGCGCCUCGUGAAUUCAUCUCCGGGGGUAGAGCACUGUUUCGGCAAGGGGGUCAUCCCGACUUACCAACCCGAUGCAAACUGCGAAUACCGGAGAAUGUUAUCACGGGAGACACACGGCGGGUGCUAACGUCCGUCGUGAAGAGGGAAACAACCCAGACCGCCAGCUAAGGUCCCAAAGUCAUGGUUAAGUGGGAAACGAUGUGGGAAGGCCCAGACAGCCAGGAUGUUGGCUUAGAAGCAGCCAUCAUUUAAAGAAAGCGUAAUAGCUCACUGGUCGAGUCGGCCUGCGCGGAAGAUGUAACGGGGCUAAACCAUGCACCGAAGCUGCGGCAGCGACGCUUAUGCGUUGUUGGGUAGGGGAGCGUUCUGUAAGCCUGCGAAGGUGUGCUGUGAGGCAUGCUGGAGGUAUCAGAAGUGCGAAUGCUGACAUAAGUAACGAUAAAGCGGGUGAAAAGCCCGCUCGCCGGAAGACCAAGGGUUCCUGUCCAACGUUAAUCGGGGCAGGGUGAGUCGACCCCUAAGGCGAGGCCGAAAGGCGUAGUCGAUGGGAAACAGGUUAAUAUUCCUGUACUUGGUGUUACUGCGAAGGGGGGACGGAGAAGGCUAUGUUGGCCGGGCGACGGUUGUCCCGGUUUAAGCGUGUAGGCUGGUUUUCCAGGCAAAUCCGGAAAAUCAAGGCUGAGGCGUGAUGACGAGGCACUACGGUGCUGAAGCAACAAAUGCCCUGCUUCCAGGAAAAGCCUCUAAGCAUCAGGUAACAUCAAAUCGUACCCCAAACCGACACAGGUGGUCAGGUAGAGAAUACCAAGGCGCUUGAGAGAACUCGGGUGAAGGAACUAGGCAAAAUGGUGCCGUAACUUCGGGAGAAGGCACGCUGAUAUGUAGGUGAAGCGACUUGCUCGUGGAGCUGAAAUCAGUCGAAGAUACCAGCUGGCUGCAACUGUUUAUUAAAAACACAGCACUGUGCAAACACGAAAGUGGACGUAUACGGUGUGACGCCUGCCCGGUGCCGGAAGGUUAAUUGAUGGGGUUAGCGCAAGCGAAGCUCUUGAUCGAAGCCCCGGUAAACGGCGGCCGUAACUAUAACGGUCCUAAGGUAGCGAAAUUCCUUGUCGGGUAAGUUCCGACCUGCACGAAUGGCGUAAUGAUGGCCAGGCUGUCUCCACCCGAGACUCAGUGAAAUUGAACUCGCUGUGAAGAUGCAGUGUACCCGCGGCAAGACGGAAAGACCCCGUGAACCUUUACUAUAGCUUGACACUGAACAUUGAGCCUUGAUGUGUAGGAUAGGUGGGAGGCUUUGAAGUGUGGACGCCAGUCUGCAUGGAGCCGACCUUGAAAUACCACCCUUUAAUGUUUGAUGUUCUAACGUUGACCCGUAAUCCGGGUUGCGGACAGUGUCUGGUGGGUAGUUUGACUGGGGCGGUCUCCUCCUAAAGAGUAACGGAGGAGCACGAAGGUUGGCUAAUCCUGGUCGGACAUCAGGAGGUUAGUGCAAUGGCAUAAGCCAGCUUGACUGCGAGCGUGACGGCGCGAGCAGGUGCGAAAGCAGGUCAUAGUGAUCCGGUGGUUCUGAAUGGAAGGGCCAUCGCUCAACGGAUAAAAGGUACUCCGGGGAUAACAGGCUGAUACCGCCCAAGAGUUCAUAUCGACGGCGGUGUUUGGCACCUCGAUGUCGGCUCAUCACAUCCUGGGGCUGAAGUAGGUCCCAAGGGUAUGGCUGUUCGCCAUUUAAAGUGGUACGCGAGCUGGGUUUAGAACGUCGUGAGACAGUUCGGUCCCUAUCUGCCGUGGGCGCUGGAGAAUUGAGGGGGGCUGCUCCUAGUACGAGAGGACCGGAGUGGACGCAUCACUGGUGUUCGGGUUGUCAUGCCAAUGGCACUGCCCGGUAGCUAAAUGCGGAAGAGAUAAGUGCUGAAAGCAUCUAAGCACGAAACUUGCCCCGAGAUGAGUUCUCCCUGACUCCUUGAGAGUCCUGAAGGAACGUUGAAGACGACGACGUUGAUAGGCCGGGUGUGUAAGCGCAGCGAUGCGUUGAGCUAACCGGUACUAAUGAACCGUGAGGCUUAACCUUACAACGCCGAAGCUGUU